rnacentral:rRNA from 1 species
GACGAACGCUGGCGGCGCGCCUAACACAUGCAAGUCGAACGGAGGCACGAGGAUCUUGCUUUUCUUGACUUAGUGGCGGACGGGUGAGUAACGCGUGUCUACCCUGCCCUGGGGUAGGGGGUAACAGUUGGGAACCACUUCUAGUACCGGAUAAGCGGGCGGAUCCGCGUGGACUUGCGAGAUAAGGAUUUAGUCGCUUCAGGAUUGACUCGCGUCAACUUAGCGAGUGGGGGCGUUAACAGCCGACCAAGGCGACGACUGCCAGCCGGGAUGAGAGGUAGAGCGGCCACAUUGGGACUGAGACACGGCCCAGACUCCUACGGGAGGCAGGAGUGGGUGAUAUUGCACAACGGGGUAAAUCCUGAUGCAGCGCCGCCGCGUGGAGGAAGAAGGUUUGCGGAUUGUAAAGUACUGUCGUUAGGGACGAUAAUGACGGUACCUAACAAGAAAGCACCGGCUAACUACGUG